rnacentral:tRNA from 1 species
AGGAUUAUAAUUUAUAAAAAAUAUUUGAUUUGCAUUCAAAAAAAAUUGAUUUUCAAUUUAUCUUA